rnacentral:lncRNA from 1 species
AUAUCACCAUUCAAGGUGGCAGGGGAAGGAAAAACAUGGAAUGAAAGAAUGGAAUGAAAGAACCAGAGGCAUGUUUUCUCAUGAAACCUACCCUUCAAGCUUCAGAAAGAAUGUCCUAAGGAUGUCAAGCCAACUGAAGCCAGCUAAUCCCAUCAAACUUAAAUGGGCAACCAACAGCCAGCAUACCAGAGAGUUUCAGAUGAGCCACGUGUGCUAUUUGUUUCCUCCUGUCAGCUGCUCUGUCCUUCAUCACAGACCUCCACUGGAUGUGAUGACUUCUUGAAAGCAACUGCAUUUGAGAAACAAGCCAUCAAUCUCUCUGUCAACUCAAGUGAAAUAAAUUCAGGAUCUGAGACA